rnacentral:rRNA from 1 species
UACGUAGGUGGCAAGCGUUGUCCGGAUUUAUUGGGCGUAAAGAGCUCGUAGGCGGUUGGGUAAGUCGGGUGUGAAAACUCCAGGCUCAACUUGGAGACGCCACCCGAUACUGCUCUGACUUGAGUUCGGUAGGGGAGUGGGGAAUUCCUGGUGUAGCGGUGAAAUGCGCAGAUAUCAGGAGGAACACCGGUGGCGAAGGCGCCACUCUGGGCCGAAACUGACGCUGAGGAGCGAAAGCGUGGGUAGCAAACAGG